UAUGACGACCUGGUUUUGUGUGUGGGGUGCAGAGCCCAGUGCAGAUCAUACAGUGGGGCAGACGGACCAUGGAGUGUGUGUCUGAGUGGAGGGAGAUGGUGGAUCAUGGCAGGGCUGGUGGCGAAGAGGACACUGGGAAAUCUGUCAAGGCUGCCCUGGUGAGCGGAUCAGGGAGAGACCACCGGUUUUUCUAUAUCUUCUAAAAUGUCUGCAAUGACUGUAUGCCUGUGUAAUCAGCCUUCUGCUUCGUGCCAUGUGUCUGUUGGAUGAUGGAAGAGACCUUGCACGCACCCGAUGCCUGUGGUCUGAGAAGCAGAGCUCGGUGAGGACCACCAGGAAAGGAAGUGUGGAUAGAGCAAUUUCAAGUUUUGAGCAUCAAAUGGAAUUUUCACUGGCUUGCGGGUAGUGUGGGAAUUAUUGCCUGCAGAUAGAAGAGAGCUGGCCUGAGCAGUUCAAAUUCCAGGGAACGCCCCAAGAACAACAGAAGGAUCAGCGUCUGGAGCCGCUUCCAACUGUGGUUUACCUUUAAACCAAAACGUUGGGAAACUGAGGUCAUUGUGUGUGAGAUCUGUACAGAAUCAGCUGUGUCUUCAUGAGACCAGCAGUGAUGAAAACACAGACAUCUGUGGACACUUUGCUCAUUAGAGAGGAUGCAAAGUCUUUAAAAGGAUAAAAGAAGUCAAAGUCCUCCCAAGAGCUGAAUGGUGCAGGAAGGACACUUGGAAGAGAAAGAGAACAGACUCUGAACUUUUGGAGCCAAACAGACCCAGGCUGUGCCUGGGAGUGGAAGUCAGACCUCAGGAGGGAGGAACGGCCACUCAUAACCGACGAGUCACGAGGAAGGGAGACGACUCGUCCAAGAGAUGGAGAGACAGCGUCCUGAAAGGUAGGAGGAAGAAUCUGAAUGGCCAAGAGGGAGUUAUCCUCUCUGUGGGGUGAGCAUGGGGGAGGAAUAAUAAACAUUUCUGGAGUACUCAUACUUGCCAGCUGUGCAGAUCACUUCAUUUGAUCUUAUAACAACUUCGUGAGUAGUUGUAAGUAUGUUUGCCAUUUAAUACAUGAGGAAGCCGAGGAAGCCAGAGGUUAACUUCUGUACCCAAGGUCACAGCCAGUGAGAAAGAGGAAAGCUUUGAACCCAAGUGGACUUCAGAGCCUGCCGGUUAUUGCGACCUGGGUCCAUCACCUCCUGGCAGUGUGAUCUUAGAGUGAGUAUUGUUGCUUACCUGCGGCCCAGUCCUCCUGUCUGUGAAUGACCACAAAACCACCCAAUUGCUAAAUUAUCCUGAAGAUAAGCAAUAAUUAUCUAUCAAGGUGUCUAUAAGAGUGGCUGGCACAUAGUAGACAUUGAUUACUGUGAUUCUUUUUUUUAAAAUUUUUACUGGAGUACAGCUGAUUUAAAAUGUGUUAUGAUUACUGUAAUUCUCAAAAGAGACGUUUGAGAUGUGAAGGAGAAUUUUAUAAUCUCUCAUGAACUUGAACAUUUUGCUUCUUUGUAUGAGAAUAAAAAUGGGAAAAAGAUUUUGGAAAACAUCUCUAGAAUAAUGUUUCCCUAAGAAUGUUCUGUGGAUUACAAAUGUCCAAUAGGUGUUAGAAUUCUGGGCCAAGAUGGAAUCCAUCUGGAAUGUUGCCUUUCGUGUCCCCGAGUGUCUCCACCCUGAGGGAGGCCCCUCUGCCUCUCCUGGUUGUUGCUCUGCAGCAGUUCUAUUAGGCUGUAUCCUGAUGUCUUUCUUUUCGUUGUGUUACCACGCCCACUCCAUCCAGUGUUCGUCCAGUGCGGUUGAUUCUACCCCCCAGGUGCUCUCACAUCCCCUGUCGUUGACACAUUCUCCCUCCACAGCCGUGUAAAGGGCUGGCCAUCUCGCACCCGAGCUGCAACAAUCCUCUUUCUGAAUCUCCAAAGUUCCUCUUACCCCUCCCACUUAUCCUCGAAUCCAGAGUGUGGCAAAGCGCCAAUCCAGCACACUGUCUCUGCUCACUCUUGGAAGAUCUCUUGCUGCCCCAAGCGGUCACUGGAACCCUGCACCUGCGCACAGGGCUCUAACCUGCAGGUCCCUGCCCAGCUGGGAGCCACAGCCUUGGCCUCAGACACGCUGUGUCCUUUCGGUUCUGACAGAUGUUCUCCUCGACCCGACUCGAGCCAAGCUCCUCUGAGCCUUCCUCCCAACUAAGCCUCAACCUUGGCCUAUAAAGGAUGCAGAGUCUCAGCGCAGAUGAUCUCAUCCACUUAUUCUCCCCAAAUCAAAGCACCGAAACAAACACGAACGUAGUUUCUAACAGCUCAAGGUCACAUCCCCAGGAUGACCCCAGGCCCCCUCCAAGUGCCCGCCUGAGAAAGCACAAGGCCGCCUAAAGGAUUUACUGUUUGUUCCAGCCAACACCUGAGGAUAGGCCCCGGACCACCCUUUCUUGGAGCACAUACUAAAAAGGGCUUAAAAUUGUGACUCCUUCUCCUGUCCUUUUGAGAUGUAUUAUGUGUGUAUCUCCUACAACUCACAGUGUCUUUCUCAAGGAUCUAAACUCCAUUCCUUUGAAAUGAAACCAUUAGGAAGGACAGGCCCCUUGCCUCCCAGUCUCUGUGAGAGGAUUGAAUCCUUACCUCCAUCACUGCCAGAUACAGACACAGAGGCCUAACCACGCUCAUAGUGACCAACGCUCGCUAGUUUUUCACAUCCCUGACUCUGCUCGAGGCCCCGCUGGUCCCCUCCCAGCUCCCUGAUUCUCCCUUUAAAACACCCGGUCAUCUCUGUACAAAUUGAAGUUAAGUUCAGUUCAUGCUGGACCUGCUUCCCUAUUGCAGGAGCAUAACACUGAUUAAAAUAUGUUCUUUCCAGGCUUCCCUGGUGGCACAGUGGU